rnacentral:ncRNA from 1 species
UGAAGACGCCCUUACCCCUCUUUCAGGACAAGGAGCUGGUAUCAGGCACAGACAUCUUGCCUAUAACACCUAGCCCCGCCACUCCUACAAAGGUAUUCAGCAGUGAUUAACAUUGUUCAUAAGCGACAGCUUGAACCAGUUAGAGUAGAAAGAGUUGGCCAACCUGGUGCCAGCCGCCGCGGCUACACCAUAGGACUCACAUUGAUUAUUCUUCGGCGUUAAGCGUGAUUAAAGUUAUUCCGAGAUUAGAACUAAACCCAAACAAAGUCGUGACACACUCGUUUUAAGAAGACCAUAAACGAAAGUUAUUCUAACUAAACAACUUGAUCCCACGAUAGCUAAGAAACAAACUGGGACUAGAUACCCCACUAUGCCUAGCUGUAAAAUAUUAACCCACACCAAACUCGCCAGGGAAUUACGAGCCCAAGCUUAAAACCCAAAGGACUUGACGGUUUCCCAUCCCCCUAGAGGAGCCUGUUCUAUAAUCGAUUCUCCCCGAUCAACCUCACCACUUCUUGAACACACAGCCUGUAUACCUCCGUCGCAAGCUUACCCUAUGAAAGCACAUUCAGUGAGCUUAAAGAUCCUACACCCACACGUCAGGUCAAGGUGCAGCCAAUGAACUGGAAAGAAAUGGGCUACAAUCUCUACUUUAGAACAAACGAAAGACUGCAUGAAACACAGUUACUGAAGGCGGAUUUAGUAGUAAAAAGAAAAUAGAGAGUUCUUUUUAAUUGGGCACUAGGAUGCGUACACACCGCCCGUCACCCUCUUCAAAUAAUAAAUUUUUUUAAGUUUAUAACCUAAUACUCUUUUACAGAAGAGGUAAGUCGUAACAUGGUAAGCGUACUGGAAAGUGCGCUUGGAA